rnacentral:rRNA from 1 species
ACUCCUACGGGAGGCUGCAGUUAGGAAUCUUGCGCAAUGGGCGAAAGCCUGACGCAGCAACGCCGCGUGGGGGAUGAAGGCCUUCGGGUUGUAAACCCCUUUCAGUGGGGACGAAGAUGACGGUACCCACAGAAGAAGCCCCGGCCAACUACGUGCCAGCAGCCGCGGUAACACGUAGGGGGCAAGCGUUGUCCGGAUUUAUUGGGCGUAAAGGGCUCGUAGGCGGUUCGACAAGUCGGGUGUGAAACCUCCAGGCUUAACCUGGAGUCGCCACUCGAAACUGUUGUGACUUGAGUCCGGUAGGGGAGCAUGGAAUUCCUGGUGUAGCGGUGGAAUGCGCAGAUAUCAGGAGGAACACCAGUGGCGAAGGCGAUGCUCUGGGCCGGUACUGACGCUGAGGAGCGAAAGCAUGGGGAGCGAACAGGAUUAGAUACCCUGGUAGUCCAUGCCGUAAACGUUGGGCACUAGGUGUGGGACCCCCUCAACGGGUUCCGUGCCGUAGCUAACGCAUUAAGUGCCCCGCCUGGGGAGUACGGCCGCAAGGCUAAAACUCAAAGGAAUUGACGGGGGCCCGCACAAGCAGCGGAGCAUGUUGCUUAAUUCGAGGCAACGCGAAGAACCUUACCUGGGUUUGACAUGUAGGGAAAAGCCGUAGAGAUACGGUGUCCUUUUGGGCCCUACACAGGUGGUGCAUGGUUGUCGUCAGCUCGUGUCGUGAGAUGUUGGGUUAAGUCCCGCAACGAGCGCAACCCUUGUCCUAUGUUGCCAGCGGGUUAUGCCGGGGACUCGUAGGAGACUGCCGGGGACAACUCGGAGGAAGGUGGGGACGACGUCAAAUCAUCAUGCCCCUUAUGCCCAGGGCUGCAAACAUGCUACAAUGGCCAGUACAAAGGGCUGCUAUACCGCGAGGUUGAGCGAAUCCCACAAAGCUGGUCUCAGUUCGGAUUGGAGUCUGCAACUCGACUCCAUGAAGCUGGAGUUGCUAGUAAUCCCGGAUCAGCAACGCCGGGGUGAAUACGUUCCCGGGCCUUGUACACACCGCCCGU